rnacentral:rRNA from 1 species
GAUGAACGCUAGCGGCAGGCUUAACACAUGCAAGUCGAGGGGUAUAGUUCUUCGGAGCUAGAGACCGGCGCACGGGUGCGUAACGCGUAUGCAAUCUACCUUUUGCAGAGGGAUAGCCCAGAGAAAUUUGGAUUAAUACCUCAUGGUAUGUGAGAAUGGCAUCAUUUUCACAUUAAAGUCACAACGGCAAAAGAUGAGCAUGCGUCCCAUUAGCUAGUUGGUAAGGUAACGGCUUACCCAGGCAACGAUGGGUAGGGGUCCUGAGAGGGAGAUCCCCCACACUGGUACUGAGACACGGACCAGACUCCUACGGGAGGCAGCAGUGAGGAAUACUGGACAAUGGGCGCAAGCCUGAUCCAGCCAUGCCGCGUGCAGGAUGACGGUCCUAUGGAUUGUAAACUGCUUUUGUACAGGAAGAAACACUGGUUCGUGAACCAGCUUGACGGUACUGUAAGAAUAAGGAUCGGCUAACUCCGUGCCAGCAGCAGCCGCAGUAA